rnacentral:rRNA from 1 species
CCUACGGGAGGCUGCAGUAGGGAAUAUUGCUCAAUGGGGGAAACCCUGAAGCAGCAACGCCGCGUGGAGGAUGACUGUUUUCGGAUUUUAAACUCCUUUUGUUAGAGAAGAUAAUGACGGUAUCUAACGAAUAAGCACCGUCUAACUCCGUGCCAGCAGCCGCGGUAAUACGGAGGGUGCAAGCGUUACCCGGAAUCACUGGGUGUAAAGAGAGCGUAGGCGGGAUAGCAAGUCAGAUGUGAAAUCCUAUGGCUUAACCAUAGAAUUGCAGUUGAAACUGUUAUUCUAAAGUAUGGGAGAGGUAGGUGGAAUUCGUGGUGUAGGGGUAAAAUGCGUAGAGAUCAAGAGGAAUACUGAUUGCGAAGGCGACCUGCUAGAACAUAACUGACGCUGAUGCGCGAAAGCGUGGGGAGCAAACAGGAUUAGAUACCCUUGUAGUC